UACAGAGGGGGCGAGCGUUCAUCGGAAUUCCUGGGCGUAAAACGUGCGUAGACGGCUAUCUAAGUCGGGUGUGAAAGCCCCGGGCUCAACCUGGGAAUUGCAUUCGAGACUGAAUAGCUAGGGUGCGGUAGAGGGAAGCGGAAUUUCCGGUGUAGCGGUGAAAUGCGUAGAUAUUGGGAGGAACACCGGUGGCGAAGGCGGCUACCUGGACCGGUACUGACGCUGAUGCGCGAAAGCUAGGGUAGCAAACAGG
rnacentral:rRNA from 1 species